GUUCAGUUUUGAGUUCGCUGGAAAAUCAUACUGAGACUGAAUACACCACUCUUGCCUUCACCUGCAUCUCUCACAGUAAGGGGACGCUCGUUCAGUUUUCAACUCCAUUCAGAAUCUUAGAAUGUGAGAAUAACAGUGUAAAAAAACCUGUUGCAAAGAGAGCCAAAGCAAAGCAGUCCACUUGGUCAUGGAAACCAGAG